rnacentral:rRNA from 2 species
AGAGUUUGAUCAUGGCUCAGAUUGAACGCUGGCGGCAGGCCUAACACAUGCAAGUCGAACGGUAACAGGAAUCAGCUUGCUGCUUUGCUGACGAGUGGCGGACGGGUGAGUAAUGUCUGGGAAACUGCCUGAUGGAGGGGGAUAACUACUGGAAACGGUAGCUAAUACCGCAUAACGUCGCAAGACCAAAGAGGGGGACCUUCGGGCCUCUUGCCAUCGGAUGUGCCCAGAUGGGAUUAGCUAGUAGGUGGGGUAAAGGCUCACCUAGGCGACGAUCCCUAGCUGGUCUGAGAGGAUGACCAGCCACACUGGAACUGAGACACGGUCCAGACUCCUACGGGAGGCAGCAGUGGGGAAUAUUGCACAAUGGGCGCAAGCCUGAUGCAGCCAUGCCGCGUGUAUGAAGAAGGCCUUCGGGUUGUAAAGUACUUUCAGCGGGGAGGAAGGGAGUAAAGUUAAUACCUUUGCUCAUUGACGUUACCCGCAGAAGAAGCACCGGCUAACUCCGUGCCAGCAGCCGCGGUAAUACGGAGGGUGCAAGCGUUAAUCGGAAUUACUGGGCGUAAAGCGCACGCAGGCGGUUUGUUAAGUCAGAUGUGAAAUCCCCGGGCUCAACCUGGGAACUGCAUCUGAUACUGGCAAGCUUGAGUCUCGUAGAGGGGGGUAGAAUUCCAGGUGUAGCGGUGAAAUGCGUAGAGAUCUGGAGGAAUACCGGUGGCGAAGGCGGCCCCCUGGACGAAGACUGACGCUCAGGUGCGAAAGCGUGGGGAGCAAACAGGAUUAGAUACCCUGGUAGUCCACGCCGUAAACGAUGUCGACUUGGAGGUUGUGCCCUUGAGGCGUGGCUUCCGGAGCUAACGCGUUAAGUCGACCGCCUGGGGAGUACGGCCGCAAGGUUAAAACUCAAAUGAAUUGACGGGGGCCCGCACAAGCGGUGGAGCAUGUGGUUUAAUUCGAUGCAACGCGAAGAACCUUACCUGGUCUUGACAUCCACGGAAGUUUUCAGAGAUGAGAAUGUGCCUUCGGGAACCGUGAGACAGGUGCUGCAUGGCUGUCGUCAGCUCGUGUUGUGAAAUGUUGGGUUAAGUCCCGCAACGAGCGCAACCCUUAUCCUUUGUUGCCAGCGGUCCGGCCGGGAACUCAAAGGAGACUGCCAGUGAUAAACUGGAGGAAGGUGGGGAUGACGUCAAGUCAUCAUGGCCCUUACGACCAGGGCUACACACGUGCUACAAUGGCGCAUACAAAGAGAAGCGACCUCGCGAGAGCAAGCGGACCUCAUAAAGUGCGUCGUAGUCCGGAUUGGAGUCUGCAACUCGACUCCAUGAAGUCGGAAUCGCUAGUAAUCGUGGAUCAGAAUGCCACGGUGAAUACGUUCCCGGGCCUUGUACACACCGCCCGUCACACCAUGGGAGUGGGUUGCAAAAGAAGUAGGUAGCUUAACCUUCGGGAGGGCGCUUACCACUUUGUGAUUCAUGACUGGGGUGAAGUCGUAACAAGGUAACCGUAGGGGAACCUGCGGUUGGAUCACCU